rnacentral:tRNA from 1 species
GGGGUUGUGGCUCAGUGGUACAAUCUCUGCUUGGUAUGUAGAAGGUCCCGGUUCAAUUCCCGACAUCCCCA